CGGUGUCAACUGGCAUGUCCUGUGGAACGUCCUGCCGGUGGCGGACCGGGCUUUCGGCUUGCGUAAGGGCUUACGCCCGAAGCAGGCCGAACAGUACCGGCCGCCGGUCCAAUCCCGCCACGGUGCUCUUCACCGAGUGUCGAGGUGGGCCGGCACGUUUACUUUGAACAAAUUAGAGUGCUUAAAGCAGGCUGGUGUCCGCCUGAAUACUGUGUGCAUGGAAUAAUAGAAUAGGACCUCGGUUCUAUUUUGUUGGUUUUCGGAACCCGAGGUAAUGAUUAAUAGGGACAGGCGGGGGCAUUCGUAUUGCGACGUUAGAGGUGAAAUUCUUGGAUCGUCGCAAGACGAACCUAAGCGAAAGCAUUUGCCAAGUAUGUUCUCGUUAAUCAAGAACGAAAGUUAGAGGUUCGAAGGCGAUCAGAUACCGCCCUAGUUCUAACCAUAAACGAUGCCAGCCAGCGAUCCGCCGAAGUUCCUCCGAUGACUCGGCGGGCAGCUUCCGGGAAACCAAAGCUUUUGGGUUCCGGGGGAAGUAUGGUUGCAAAGCUGAAACUUAAAGGAAUUGACGGAAGGGCACCACCAGGAGUGGAGCCUGCGGCUUAAUUUGACUCAACACGGGAAACCUCACCAGGCCCGGACACCGGAAGGAUUGACAGAUUGAGAGCUCUUUCUUGAUUCGGUGGGUGGUGGUGCA
rnacentral:rRNA from 1 species